AUUGAACGCUGGCGGCAGGCCUAACACAUGCAAGUCGAACGAGUGGCGGACGGGUGAGUAAUGUCUGGGAAACUGCCCGAUGGAGGGGGAUAACUACUGGAAACGGUAGCUAAUACCGCAUACCAUCGGAUGUGCCCAGAUGGGAUUAGCUUGUAUGUGAGGUAAAGGCUCACCUAGGCGCCGAUGCCUAGCUGGUCUGAGAGGAUGACCAGCCAGCCUGGAACGGAGAAACGGUCCAGACUCGUCCGGGUGGCAGCAGUGGGGAAUUUGGCACAAGGGGCGCAAGCCUGAUGCAGCCGUGCCGCUUGUAUGAAGAAGGCUUGCGGGUUGGAAAGUACUUUAAGCGGGGAGGCGUUACCCGCAGAAGAAGCACCGGCUAACUCCGGGCCAGCAGCCGCGGUAAUUC
rnacentral:rRNA from 1 species